rnacentral:rRNA from 1 species
CUAAGAAUAUUCCGCAAUGGACGAAAGUCUGACGGAGCGACGCCGCGUGGAUGAUGAAGGCCGAAAGGUUGUAAAAUCCUUUUGUCGGGGGAGAAUAAGGCGGGGAGGAAAUGCCCUGUCGAUGACAUGAACCGGCGAAUAAGCCCCGGCUAACUACGUGCCAGCAGCCGCGGUAACACGUAGGGGCGAGCGUUGUUCGGAAUUACUGGGCGUAAAGGGCAUGUAGGCGGCCCGGCAAGCCUGGCGUGAAAGACCGCAGCUCAACUGCGGGGAUGCGCUGGGAACUGGUGGGCUUGAGUUACGGAGAGGGAGCUGGAAUUCCUGGUGUAGGGGUGAAAUCUGUAGAGAUCAGGAAGAACACCGAUGGCGAAGGCAAGCUUCUGGCCGAUAACUGACGCUG